GGAUGGAUAGCUCGGCUCUGCAUAACAAUUGAUGACUGUGGUGGUGACUUGACAAUUUGAUAUAGCCUUCGACACCGUGCCGAUCCGAGUGUUCAUAGCAAUCAUCGAUCCGAAGCUCUUACGGUAACCCACCGUAACACUAAUUAAUCACAAACGACAGCAAUGCCGCAACACGAAUCCACCACCAACAGUAAAUGAAAGCAAGCAUUAUCUUG
rnacentral:lncRNA from 1 species